rnacentral:rRNA from 1 species
UCGAUUGAGUUUGAUCCUGGCUCAGGAUAAACGCUGGCGGCGUGCCUAACCCAUGCAAGUCGAGCGCUCUGUAGCAAUACAGAAAGCGGCGGAAGGGUGAGUAACACGUGGAAAUCUACCNCGNCGGAGNAAACAACCUUUCGAAAGAAAGGCUAAUACCCAAAAGGAUCCGCAAGGAUCAGAGUCGCAAGGCCUGUUGAGAGGAGUCCGCGGCCCAUCAGCUAGUUGGUGAGGUAAAAGCUUACCAAGGCUACGACGGGUAGGGGGUCUGAGAGGACGUCCCCCCACACUGGAACUGAAACACGGUC